UACGUAGGGUGCAAGCGUUGUCCGGAAUUAUUGGGCGUAAAGAGCUCGUAGGCGGUCUGUCGCGUCGGCUGUGAAAACCCGGGGCUCAACUCCGGGCCUGCAGUCGAUACGGGCUGGCUUGAGUGCGGUAGGGGAGACUGGAAUUCCUGGUGUAGCGGUGAAAUGCGCAGAUAUCAGGAGGAACACCGGUGGCGAAGGCGGGUCUCUGGGCCGUAACUGACGCUGAGGAGCGAAAGCGUGGGGAGCGAACAGG
rnacentral:rRNA from 1 species